AGCAGCCACUCAUUAAAAGAGUGCGUAAUAGCUCACUGGUCGAGUGACUCUGCGCGGAAAAUAUAACGGGGCUAAGCACACAACCGAAGCUUGGGAUUGUCAAAAGACAGUGGUAGGGGAGCGUCGAAUACGGGGUGAAGUCGUAUCGGAAGGAACGGUGGACUGUAUUCGAGUGAGAAUGCCGGAAUGAGUAGCGAGAAUUAUGUGGGAAUCAUAAUGGCCGAAAAUCUAAGGUUUCUUGGGGAAGGUUCGUCCGCCCAAGGUAAGCCGGGAGCUAAGGCGAGGCCGCAAGGCGUAGUCGAUGCACAUACGGUAGAAAUUCCGUAGCCACCGAACCUUAAACCGGAAGGACACUUUCAGAUAGCAGAACCCAGCCGUUGGUAGAGCUGGGCGAAAGGGACUGAAAUAUAGUAGGGAAGUCUGCGAUGCUGAGAGGCGAGAAAAGCUCCGGUGUAUGCUAAGGUGCCCGUACCGCAAACCGACACAGGUAGAUGAGGAGAGAAUCCUAAGGCCAACGGGAGAAGGGUUGUUAAGGAACUCGGCAAAUUGACCCCGUAACUUCGGAAGAAGGGGAGCCCCGAAAGGGGCCGCAGUGAAUAGGCCCAAGCAACUGUUUACCAAAAACACAGGUUUAUGCUAAAUCGAAAGAUGACGUAUAUGAGCUGACGCCUGCCCGGUGCCGGAAGGUUAAGAGGAGAUGUCAGGAGCAAUCCGAAGCAUUGAAUUGAAGCCCCGGUAAACGGCGGCCGUAACUAUAACGGUCCUAAGGUAGCGAAAUUCCUUGUCAGGUAAGUUCUGACCCGCACGAAUGGCGUAAUGAUUUGGGCACUGUCUCAACAGCCCGCCCGGCGAAAUUGUAGUACUGGUGAAGAUGCCAGUUACCCGCAACUAGACGGAAAGACCCCAUGGAGCUUUACUGCAGUUUAAUACUGGGAAUCGGUAAUGCAUGUACAGGAUAGGUGGGAGACUUGGAAGCAUAGUCGUCAGGCUAUGUGGAGUCACCGGUGGGAUACCACUCUUGUAUUGCUGGUUUCCUAACCUGCGGCCGUGAAUCCGGUCGGGGGACACUGUUAGACGGGCAGUUUGACUGGGGCGGUCGCCUCCAAAAGAGUAACGGAGGCGCUCAAAGGUUCGUUCAGCACGGACGGAAAUCGUGCAUUGAGUGUAAACGCAUAAACGAGCCUAACUGCGAGACCGACGGGUCGAGCAGUAACGAAAGUUGGAGUUAGUGAUCCGGUGGUAUGUGAGUGGAAAUGCCAUCGCUCAACGGAUAAAAGCUACCCUGGGGAUAACAGGCUGAUCUCCCCCAAGAGUCCACAUCGACGGGGAGGUUUGGCACCUCGAUGUCGGCUCAUCGCAUCCUGGGGCUGUAUUCGGUCCCAAGGGUUUGGCUGUUCGCCAAUUAAAGCGGCACGCGAGCUGGGUUCAGAACGUCGUGAGACAGUUCGGUCCCUAUCUGUUGCGGGCGUAAGAGAUUUGAAGGGAGCUGUCCUUAGUACGAGAGGACCGGGAUGGACGUACCUCUGGUGCACCAGUUGUCCUGCCAAGGGCAUAGCUGGGUAGCUAUGUACGGACGAGAUAAACGCUGAAAGCAUCUAAGCGUGAAACUCUCCCUAAGAUGAGAUCUCUCAUCCUUUAUGGAGUAAGGGCCCAGAAAGACGAUCUGGUUGAUAGGCCGGAGGUGGAAGUGCAGUAAUGUAUGCAGCUGACCGGUACUAAUAGCCCGAGGGCUUGACCUA
rnacentral:rRNA from 1 species